rnacentral:rRNA from 1 species
GUGAGGAAUUUUCCGCAAUGGGCGAAAGCCUGACGGAGCAAUGCCGCGUGAAGGAUGAAGGCCUAUGGGUUGUAAACUUCUUUUCUCAGAAAAGAAUUAUGACGGUAUCUGAGGAAUAAGCAUCGGCUAACUCUGUGCCAGCAGCCGCGGUAAGACAGAGGAUGCAAGCGUUAUCCGGAAUGAUUGGGCGUAAAGCGUCUGUAGGUUGUUUAAAAAGUAUUCUGUCAAAGAUUAGGGCUUAAACCUAGAUAGGCAGAAUAAACUUUUAAGCUAGAGUUUGGUAGAGGAAGACGUAAUUCCCGGUGGAGCGGUGAAAUGCGUAGAUAUCGGGAGGAACACCACAGGCGAAGGCACUCUGCUGGGCCAAUACUAACACUGAGAGACGAAAGCGAGGGGAGCAAAUGGGAUUAGAAACCCUAGUAGUCC